CUUGACAACCCAGAUUUAAAUAUAUUAACUGCAAAGUCAUAAAAAUCAGCACUCUGUGGCAAGCCCAAGCCUAAAGAUAAGACUGCUCAAUAGAGACCACUGUUUCCACGGCCGGCUCCAGAGGAGGGUAUGUUUCCAUAUACAACAAGCGCCCUUUAUGUGGAGGAGGCUGAGAAGACGCCUUGUCUGAGCCAGCCAAAUUCAGUUUUUAAAAAACAUUUUCUUUUGCUGGAAGGCAGAAGGCUGGGGUUUCGCCAAGGAAUGCGCACAGGCAGAAUCGGGCGCGUGGCGGCACGUGGAGCACCCUCCCCGCUCCCAUGGCGGCAAGGAGCAGCCCCACAAGCAGGGGUCUGUGAGGAGACGUGUGGCCCCAAGCCCCCCCACAAUGAGGUGAGAGUCCCUGGGACCUGGACCUGUUUCUGCUCCAGGGCAGGAGAAUGGGCAACAGGUAGGAAAGGAGAGGAGCCAGACAAAAGGCAUCACGCUGUAAAGACAAGAGCACAUGAGUACAUCAGGGAUCAAAUAUCCCAGAUAAAACCAGACUGAGUGCAGCGAAGGAGAGAAAUGAGGAGGAGUUGUUUUUCAUGCAGCAGCUUUAUUAGCAUUUGAAUAUCAUCCGUGAAACACCUCUUCUACAGGCAUCUAACUUUUUCUCCUCCUCUCACCUGUGAAAAUAACCACAAGGUUCAACCUGGAAGGUAAAAAUCAGCACUGCAGCUUAUUGACAAAGUCUGCCAUCUCCCAUCUAGGCAAACAGAAAUGUUUGCUACAGUCACCCCCAAUUAUUUUUUCUUCUUUGGCUUGUCCCAUGCAAGUAUUUUAGUACCCAAUUAAAAUAUUUAUACUUUCAACAUCAUCCAGCAGAGCUUCAAUAAUAUGGCUGUGGCCGAAAGGGAAAGGAUAAACCAGGAGGCAGAAUCAAUUAGGCCGUUCAACCGCUUACACGUUACAGUCUGAGUUUCUGAGGCCAGCAAAGGCACGGGUGAACUGCUUUGGAUUAGAUAAAUUAAAGUUCAGCUUUACUGCCCAUGGUGACAAACUGUUCUUUUGUUCAAGUUUAAACACCAGUACUCCUCCUGCCCCUGCCCCCAUCAUUCAUUUGCUUGAAAUCUUUCACACUAUGACCCACAAAAAGCACAUCUUCUUUCCUGUAAAGGCAAUUCUAGAACAUAGAAGGUCUGUUUAGAUUUUUGGUGAUGCUUUUUCCCUUCCCAUCUAACACAGAGAAGAACAGAGAGACUUUUAGGCAUAGCUGCUUCCCCCCCAAACAUCUGCCAUGACAUAUUUGACAUAUGUCAAAUCAAAAGAAGCCAUGAUUUCCCGUACAGAGCCUUCGGCUUGUGUUACUGUGCCCUCAGUCGCCCCAUCCUCAUUAAUCUUCAGUUAAUAAGUGGUUAAAACCUGCUGACCUGAUGAAAAAACAUAGAAAGGCUAGCACCACUCUCAUUUAUCUAUUGUGGUCAAACAUCUUCCUGGAGGAGGAGGAGGAGAAGGAGGACUAGGAGGACGACACAUUUGUCUGUGACAGCAUGAGGCCAGGCACAAUGUCACCCAGUUUUCAGGUACAAUUCACAAAUGUUAUAUGUUAUCCACCGUCAAAUAUUUGAAAACUUGCCCUUGAAGUCACUCCCAUGUCACUAAUGUUAGCCCCUACUGGUAGUUUCUGAUUACUAAAGGAACAGAAGGAGAUUCAGGAAUAAGGCAAGAAGCAGCACAGCAAAAAUACAGAAAAGCACAUACAGAGGUCAUGGUAUCUGGCUUAUUCUUUGCCACCAUUUAUUUUAGAGCUCAGUACUCAGUCAGCUCAGAAUACCCAUCACAUUUGAUAAUUGUUUUGGUUAGUAAUAACAAUAGAUUCACUUGGAUUUAUUAGACACAGAAUACUUUAUUUGAUGCCAAUCUCCGGAAAUGUACUAAUGCCUGCUGACAGUGUUCUCACACUGUGUCUCUCCAAACAAGAAGUGAGGUCAUCAUGAUUCAUGUAAUAAUCUGAUGCACAUUUUGUGGCAAUUUAGAAAAGUUUAAAAUUCAUAAACUAGGACAUUUUGUUUGGGGUUUUUUUCCCCUCCAGUCUGCAAUUAGGAUUUCCUAAGUGGAACACCAAACUUUAGAAAAUCCAAGGAGAAACUGUUUACACACUUUCCAGACAUCAGUUCUGCUUUUUUUUUGGUUCUUGGGGUUUUUUUUUUUUCCUUUGCUUACUGAAGUGGAGGAGCCUACACAGUUUGUUUCUGUACAAAGUGCUGCCCUUCUCCAGCAAGAAGGGAGUCUUCUUUAAUUAAAAGUGACAUUCCAGAAAGUUUGCAAUUAGAAAGGAUCAAGGUGCAACAAGAACAGCCUGAGGAAAUACUUUUGCAAAGAGGGCAGGGAUUGUUGAUAAUUACAAUGAGGCAAGAGAAAUAGGUAUAUUAACUACAUUUCUUUUCUUCUAAGCUUGGUAAAAAAAAGGCAGAGAAUGUCCUGUAUUUACAAGAAAAGAACAAGAAAGAAGACUGAUCCUUAGGCAAUAACAUUAGAUACUGCACCUGGAUUUCUUGAAUUGCAAACUACAGAGGACAGAGCGGUUCAGGUACCACCUCAAGUAUCUGAAUUAAAAACUCAUCUACCUCUGGCUGUAGGAAGAGCAGCAUGCAGACCAUGAAGAGCAUUCCUGGAAGCAACUCCAGGCAGAGAUAGCCCUGUUUCAGCAUGUGCAAUUGCAGAACAUGUGGCUGAAACAACUCUGCUGCAGAGAAGCGCUGGGACUCCCUUCACCAUGCCUCCAGCACGAGUCCCCACUGUCACAUCAAGGUGGCCCAGCCAGAGGACAUCAAAAGAAGGUGUUAGGAGUCAGAAUCACGCCAAACAGGAGACAGUUCCUUGCACAGUUUGCAGUCAAAACCACAGACCUCCCUGCAAAGCACUGUCAUGGAAACCAAAACCCUAUAGAAGAUGAAACGGAGGGUGGAAAAAAGCUCAAGGGAUACAAAUCCUCAACAUACGUAGAAAUCACACCCUUCUUGUGAAUCUGCAAGCUGAACUCUUCCCAGGCAUCUGCUGAUACCCACAACCACGUCCAUUCUCCUGGGCUAAACUAACCUUGGGUCCAAACCAGUGCAGCCAGCCACUCUUACCUGCUCAGAGGGCUUUGUCAUGGCCCUGGACCAGGCAGACCUCAGGAUUGGUACUGUGCAGCCAGCUCCACUCCUCAGUCCUCAGUGCAGCACACCCCACAUCUUCACCCCAGGGAUUCACCAAAAGGCACUGUGGCACUGCAGGCUGCCCAUGUCACCCCCGGCACCGCGGGAUGUGUUUACCAGGAGCAGCCUCCCGGGAAGUGGUCAGGCUGGAGAGAGCAACACUGAAAGGGCGCAGAUACCAUCGGCACUGCUCUCCCUGCUCAAAGGCAGACUUCACAGAAGUUCAGUGUCUGGUAAGAGACCCAAUUCAGAAAUGAAGCAAAAGAGUUGCUGCUUAGAAAGAGGCAUGGGAACAGUGACAAAAAAGGGAUGCCUUUCCAGCAGUAUCAAGCAGUUGCAGGUAAAACUGGUCGUCUUGUUUUACACCUGCAGUUGAGUUUUUCUCCCCUUAAAGAAAUGUUUGCUUUGCUGUUUGGUUGAAGUUUUUAAGAAGCUGUCAGCUGUUAUACUGAAUUAAAUGCUUUUUAUUAUGCAAAGGCUGACAGUGCCUGAGCUGUAACUGUGUGAAUGUGAACAGCAUAUUAAUUCAAAGUCUGUAUGAUUACACUUUGCCAUUAAAGGUCACUCAGCAUUUUGAUUU